rfam:Trichosporon oleaginosus strain IBC0246 unplaced genomic scaffold CC85scaffold_78, whole genome shotgun sequence.
UGCCCUAUGGCUCAGUAGGUUAGCGCGUGGAGCUGUUACGAUGACUCGAAACAACUCCGAGGUCCACGGUUCGAGUCCGUGUGGGGCAG